GCUUGUAGCUGGUGCUAUUCCUACCUUUAAUUUACCCCAGAAAAGCAUACCUCUCUACAUCGACAAUUGGAGCCAGGUAACAUUGCUGGUCGUCACACUGGUCAGAGGAGUAAAUGGUAUCGUGGAUUAGAAAAGGCCUUGCCGUAACAUAAAACAGAAGUAAUCUAGUGAGAACUUUUAUGGGGUUUUUGUACCCAGAGCUGUCAUUAAGGGCCUGUAGCUUGCCUACUUCUGUCUGAACAAAGUUCAUAUAAACAAAACUGUGAAGCAAUAAACAAACCUUUUACUUCCUCUAAUCAGAACAUCAAAAUUUAAACAAAAGAUUAAAUUAUUUCAAACAGGUCAGGCUUUGAUAGGAUGUUUUGUAAUCUUAAGAACUCUGUAAAAUACCUUCCAAAAUGCAGGGAAUGUGUAAAAUACCUUCCUAAAUGCAGGGAAUGGCAUUUCCAACCCAGAUCCCUCUAGGAGUCUUGUGCCUUCAAUGUUCAAUAAUUUUUCGGCCACCUACUUGUAAACUUAAUGACAGCACUGCUUCAAAAGAGUAAUAUGCAAUAAUUUGUACAUAUGCUAUAAAAUAAUUAUUAAAACAGAUUAUAAAUGAAUAGGUGAACAAUAAGACUAGAACAAUAUAUUACCUUAGUUGAAUAAUUUGUAAAAAUUUAUACUAAUAUAUACAGUAAAUCACUAUUACACAAAAUUUUGUUUCACUUCAAAUAAACAAGACAUUGGUAGGCUCAACUUUGAGUUAUCAUGGUUUGAGAGACAACGACGGCUAGAAUCAGAGCACACUGAUGUACCGGUAGUGAAUAAGUACACUAUUCACAUCUGAAAUUGGCUGUCAUCCAGGGGCAUAGGAACCAGGGCGCCAAGGCCCCCCAAGUUCUCAGAAGAUGCAAAAAGUGUCCUUUGAGUGUGAGGCAGUUAAACAAUGAAAUGACCAGCCUGCUUGGCAUGCUUUGGGCUGGAGCACGACAAAUGGCAAAAUUUGAAACUUAACAGCCAUACAGUUUACCAAUAUUCUCAAAACACACGGACGUACUGGCAUUCUUUUGAUACUGCAAUGCUAUUAGAUUGCUCAAUAAUGUCAUUCCACAAACUUUUUGCUAAUGGAGGAGCUUGGACAUUCUUAAUAACUUUAUCAACGUGUAAAGAAGUAGGUUUGCCUUAAUUCUUGUGUGCUUUCUAAAGCACGAUUCAGCAAUUCUAGCAAUAUCAUUAAGUCAUGAAUUUG